CCUACGGGUGGCAGCAGUAGGGAAUCUUCCACAAUGGGCGAAAGCCUGAUGGAGCAACGCCGCGUGGGUGAAGAAGGUCUUCGGAUCGUAAAGCCCUGUUGUUAGAGAAGAAAGUGCGUGAGAGUAACUGUUCACGUUUCGACGGUAUCUACCCAGAAAGCCACGGCUAACUACGUGCCAGCAGCCGCGGUAAUACGUAGGUUGCAAGCGUUAUCCGGAUUUAUUGGGCGUAAAGGGAACGCAGGCGGUCUUUUAAGUCUGAUGUGAAAGCCUUCGGCUUAACCGGGGUAGUGCAUUCGAAACUGGGAGGCUUGAGUGCAGAAGAGGAGAGUAGAAAUCCAGGUGUAGCGGUGAAAUGCGUAGAUAUAUGGAAGAAUACCAGUGGCGAAGGCGGCUCCCUGGUCUGUAACUGACGCUGAGGUUCGAAAGCGUGGGUAGCAAACAGGAUUAGAUACCCUGGUAGUC
rnacentral:rRNA from 1 species